GGAGAGAUGGCUGAGAGGUCGAAGGCGGCCGAUUCGAAAUCGGUUAUCUCGAGUUAAUCGGGAUCGGGGGUUCGAAUCCCCCUCUCUCCU
rnacentral:tRNA from 1 species